UAUGUCCUACAAUCCUUAAGAUACACAAAGCUGCACAAUGAAACAGACUUCGACUACACACAAUGUGAAACAGAGGAUUCUGGGUUGAACACGUGGAUCAUAAAGCUUCUGAGGCAGAAUGCCCUGUACAUCCAACAUUUAUGGGAAGCAAUUCCAGAUAAAAGUUUCAGAGACAGAUGCUGAAGAAUUUACACAGAGAUCUUGUUAUGCAAUUUAGCCAAAGAAACCAUUUUUUUACUGUUUUUAUGUCAUCUUCCAAACUGUGGCAUGACGUGUACAAAAAUCCUUCACUUUAAAGUAUUAUCUAUCUAUAUCAAGCUUAUUAGAGAGGUGACACAUGAAAUGUUUUCUGUUUGCUCCUGUGGUAUACAAGUGUUUUACAAUUAAAAAUUUGGGAAGUACCAUUCAGCUCUCUUUCCAGUGGGUGUCAGCUGAUUUUUUUAAAUGCUGUCAGCCAAGCUCUUCUUAAAUUUUAAAAUUCCCCCUUAUAUAUCUACAUCAAGUUGGGUCAGAAAGUCACAUCAGUCACAUAUAUUGAGCCUUAAAAGCUUCUCUUAAAGGCAAAUCCUGGCUUAAUAUUCACUGCAAAUUCUUGACCACUAACUCAAUAUCCUGGGGCACUGUUGUGUUCAGACAGCAAAUAAUAUGUUAUUAUGGCCCUAAGGCAUGGCUAUCUUGAUAAUUAACUUCCAUUGUUUUUCUGCUUGCUAAGAAUCCACUGACAUUCUUCCAUACUAGCAUUGUCUUAAGAAACAUUACUGCUAGCAGACAUUGAUAUAUUUUUUUUUGUUAUUCAAACCCACGCUAUAUAUAUUUGUUCUACAGUUUAUCUUUCAAAGCUAUUUGAUAUAAAAAAGGUCUAAAAAAAAAAAAAAGCACACACAGACCUCUGGUUGGAGGAGAACAACCAUGUGUUUGUCAGAUGGACACUGUCCCCUAUAUUAUAUAGCUUAUUAUAUCUGGCAGCUCUAAUGUUGAAAAUCAGGCACCAGUCUGGGAUUGGUUCACUAAUAUAUUUUGCUCAGAGAUGGUAUGCUCAAGCAUGAACAAGCUAGGCAAGCUGCAGAAAAAUGAAAAGAACAAAACUGAGUUUCUCUUUCUCUGUGCACCUACUUGCAUUUGAUUUUUAUUAAAGAGUCUUAUGAUCAUAAA